NACGACCUCAGAUCGAGCGAGGUUCACCCGCUGAACUUAAGCAUAUCAAUAAGCGCAGAAGAGAAACCAACAGGGAUUCCCUCAGUAACGGCGAGCGAAGUGGGAAGAUUGCCCAGGUCUGAAAUCUCCGGUCAGGCUUCGAGUUGUUGGCCGGCGAAUUGUGGUCUGGAGAGUCGAACUGUCCCGAUCCACUGCUCCUCUUGUUUGGGCCCGAAGUCGACUUGGAACGGCGUGCCUGAGAGGGUGAGAGCCCNGUAGGGCAAGGAAACCGGGAGCGGCGGGACGAGGGUUCGUACUCGUAGAGUCGGGUUGUUUGGGAUUGCAGCCCCAAGCGGGUGGUAGACUCCAUCCAAGGCUGAAUACAGGUGCGAGACCGAUAGCGGACAAGUACCGUGAGGGAAAGNN
rnacentral:rRNA from 1 species